GUGCCUCUCAUUACCGAUCUCCUUUUCUGUAACUGCACCGCUCCUCUCCUCCGGAAGCUCCAGCUGUUACCCUUCAGCAACUGGUCACCAUGGUAACACACACCGGCAUACUGGACUUUCGCUGUCAUCAGUGUGUAGAUUGAAGGACCUCUCUCAUUCUUCCUCCUGAUCCCAGCCUGAUUUGCAUAAUGUGAAGAAUGGUGUUGAUGCGGAGCGGAGACAAGUUGGCUGCGUUUCAUGCUUGACUAAGAAGUGAUCCGCAGAUGCGAGGCUGAGUAAUUGAAAAAAGUAAACAGGAACAUUGUCACAGCAAAGGUGUGUGCGCCUGCCUCAGUGUGCGCCUGCCUCAGUGUGUGUCUUCAUGUUUACCCUGGAUGACCUACAGAAGUUUUCCCUCCUCACUUCCAGCUCCAUGCUCCACCGUCUCCCGGGGAGUUGUUAUUGGCAGGCAGAGCUGAAGGGAACACUUGAGCGUGUAGGGAACAACAUACAGGGAGAAAAAAAUCCUAAAUCUGGAGCUCAGGCUGGAGAAAUGGCUGAAGAUGAGUUUUGUUUUCCAUUUAUCCCUCAUUCAACCAGAUCCUCUGAUUACGGCCGAUAUUGCUUUCGCCAAAAACAGGCUUUAGAACACUGCAGAAAUAUUUCCUCGGGGAUGUUACUGAAUACAUGCACACUAAUUGUAGCGAGGAAACAAUCCGCACCAUCAGUCUUCUCAGAUAUCUCCUCGGGGGCCAACAGUUUAUCACGCAUGAUGCCUCGUAGAGUACUUGGAUUACACGGGGAAAUGUUUGGCAUGCUGGUCUAUAUACAGCAGCACACAUUAAAACUGAUCCUACACACUGUAAAUAAACUGUAUUCCAAUGCUUGUGUAAUAAAGUAAACCCCAAAGCA